UACGAAGGGGGCUAGCGUUGUUCGGAAUCACUGGGCGUAAGAGCGCACGUAGGCGAUGUGCCAGUCAGGGGUGAAAGCCCGGAGCUCAACUCCGGAAUUGCCUUUAAGACUGCAUCGCUUGAAUCCAGGAGAGGUGAGUGGAAUUCCGAGUGUAGAGGUGAAAUUCGUAGAUAUUCGGAAGAACACCAGUGGCGAAGGCGGCUCACUGGACUGGUAUUGACGCUGAGGUGCGAAAGCGUGGGGAGCAAACAGG
rnacentral:rRNA from 1 species